rnacentral:tRNA from 1 species
GCGCCCGUAGCUCAAUUGGAUAGAGCAUCUGCCUUCGGAGCAGAGGGCUGCAGGUUCAAGUCCUGCCGGGCGCG